UCCCUAGUGGCCUAGUGGUUAAAGAUACAGCAUUGUCACUGCUCUGGCUCUGGUUCAAUCCCUGGCCAGGGAA
rnacentral:tRNA from 1 species